UACGUAGGGUGCGAGCGUUAAUCGGAAUUACUGGGCGUAAAGUGUGCGCAGGCGGCCAUGCAAGUCGAGUGUGAAAGCCCCGGGCUUAACUUGGGAAUUGCGCUCGAAACUACUUUGCUGGAGUGUGGCAGAGGAAGGUGGAAUUCCACGUGUAGCGGUGAAAUGCGUAGAGAUGUGGAGGAACACCGAUGGCGAAGGCAGCCCCCUGGGUCAAGAUUGACGCUCAUGCACGAAAGCGUGGGGAGCAAACAGG
rnacentral:rRNA from 1 species